rnacentral:rRNA from 1 species
CGUACAGGUCUCCGUAGGUGAACCUGCGGAGGGAUCAUUACACAAAUAUGAAGGCGGGCUGGAACCUCUCGGGGUUACAGCCUUGCUGAAUUAUUCACCCUUGUCUUUUGCGUACUUCUUGUUUCCUUGGUGGGUUCGCCCACCACUAGGACAAACAUAAACCUUUUGUAAUUGCAAUCAGCGUCAGUAACAAAUUAAUAAUUACAACUUUCAACAACGGAUCUCUUGGUUCUGGCAUCGAUGAAGAACGCAGCGAAAUGCGAUAAGUAGUGUGAAUUGCAGAAUUCAGUGAAUCAUCGAAUCUUUGAACGCACAUUGCGCCCUUUGGUAUUCCAAAGGGCAUGCCUGUUCGAGCGUCAUUUGUACCCUCGAGCUUUGCUUGGUGUUGGGCGUCUUGUCUCUAGCUUUGCUGGAGACUCGCCUUAAAGUAAUUGGCAGCCGGCCUACUGGUUUCGGAGCGCAGCACAAGUCGCACUCUCUAUCAGCAAAGGUCUAGCAUCCAUUAAGCCUUUUUUUCAACUUUUGACCUCGGAUCAGGUAGGGAUACCCGCUGAACUUAAGCAUAUC